rnacentral:rRNA from 1 species
GACGAACGCUGGCGGCGUGCUUAACACAUGCAAGUCGAACGGGCCUGUCUUCUUUUUUGGGGGUGGGUUGAGUGGCGAACGGGUGAGUAUCACGUGAGUAACCUGCCCUUCGGUCCUGGAUAACCGCUUGAAAGGGCGGCUAAUACGGGGUGGUCCGGUUGGUCCGCAUGGGCUGGUCGGGAUAGAUUCACUGUUUUUGGUGUUUCGGCGGGGGAUGGGCUCGCGGCCUAUCAGCUUGUUGGUGAGGUGAUGGCCUACCAAGGCGGUGACGGGUAGCCGGCCUGAGAGGGUGGGCGGCCACACUGGGACUGAGAUACGGCCCAGACUCCUGCGGGAGGCAGCAGUGGGGGGUAUUGCACAAUGGGCGGAAGCCUGAUGCAGCGACGUCGCGUGAGGGAUGGAGGCCUUCGGGUUGUGAACCUCUGUUUCCGGUGGUGAAGGCCCUGUCCGUGUGGUGGGGUUGACGGUAGCCGGGGAUGAAGCGCCGGCUAACUACGUG